CUACGGGUGGCAGCAGUGGGGAAUAUUGGACAAUGGGGGAAACCCUGAUCCAGCAAUGCCGCGUGUGUGAAGAAGGCCUGCGGGUUGUAAAGCACUUUCGGUUGGGAGGACUGCUUCUAGCACUAAUAUUGUUGGAAGUUGACGUUACCUUCAGAAGAAGCACCGGCUAACUCCGUGCCAGCAGCCGCGGUAAUAAGGAGGGUGCAAGCGUUAAUCGGAAUUACUGGGCGUAAAGGGCGCGUAGGCGGCUAGAUCAGUCGGGUGUGAAAGCCCCGGGCUUAACCUGGGAACUGCAUCCGAUACUGUCUAGCUUGAGUACAGUAGAGGAGAGUGGAAUUCCACAUGUAGCGGUGAAAUGCGUAGAUAUGUGGAGGAACACCAAUGGCGAAGGCAGCCCUCUGGCCUGAUACUGACGCUGAGGUGCGAAAGCGUGGGGAGCAAACAGGAUUAGAUACCCGAGUAGUC
rnacentral:rRNA from 1 species